CCUACGGGUGGCAGCAGUGGGGAAUAUUGCGCAAUGGGCGAAAGCCUGACGCAGCGACGCCGCGUGAGGGAUGAAGGUCUUCGGAUUGUAAACCUCUGUCAGCAGGGAAGAAAGGUCACUGUGCUAAUCAGCAGUGAAUUGACGGUACCUGCAAAGGAAGCACCGGCUAACUCCGUGCCAGCAGCCGCGGUAAUACGGAGGGUGCGAGCGUUAAUCGGAAUUACUGGGCGUAAAGCGCUCGUAGGCGGUAUGUCAAGUCAAGGGUGAAAUCCCCGCGCUCAACGUGGGAACUGCCUUUGAAACUGGCAAACUGGAGUGUGUGAGAGGAUAGUGGAAUUCCAGGUGUAGGAGUGAAAUGCGUAGAUAUCAGGAGGAACAUCAGUGGCGAAGGCGACUAUCUGGCACAUAACUGACGCUGAGGAGCGAAAGCGUGGGUAGCAAACAGGAUUAGAUACCCCAGUAGUC
rnacentral:rRNA from 1 species